rfam:Triticum aestivum genome assembly, contig: Triticum_aestivum_CS42_TGACv1_scaffold_592146_7BS
AUACUACUCCCUCUGUCUGAAAAUACUUGUCGUAGAAAUGCAUAAAAAUGAAUGUAUUUAGAACUAAAAUACAUCUUGAUACAUCUAUUUCUCCGACAAGUAUUUCCGGACGGAGGGAGUACACG